AUUGAACGCUGGCGGCGGGCCUAACACAUGCAAGUCGAACGAAAGGCGGACGGGUGAGUAAUGUCUGGGAAACUGCCUGAUGGAGGGGGAUAACUACUGGAAACCGUAGCUAAUACCGCAUACCAUCGGAUGUGCCCAGAUGGGGUUGGCUGGUUGGUGGGGGAACGGCUCACCAAGGCGACGAACCCUACCUGGGCUGAGAGGAUGACAGGCCGCACUGGAACUGAGCCACUGUCAAGACUACUACGGGAGGGAGCAGUGUGGAACAGUGCACAGUGGGCGCGAGCAUGAUGCAGCGGUGCAGCGUGUAUGAAGAAGGCCUUCGGUGUGUAAAGUACUUUCAGCGGGGAGGCGUUACUCGCAGAAGAAGCACCGGCUAACUCCGUGCCAGCAGCCGCGGUAAUAC
rnacentral:rRNA from 1 species